GUUAUCAAUUCCAGAUCUCCUGACUCACUGGGGGAUUGGAUCAGUGAGCAAAACACAAAACCUGGAGGAAAAGAUAUUGGAAUCAUAGAAUCAUAAAGGUUGGAACAGACUUCUAAGAUCAUUGAGUCCAACCAUCAGCCCAUCACCACCAUGCCCACUACAACAUGUCCGUGGUUUAAAUCAGCUGCAGACGAGACCUUACCAUGUCUCCGCUGUGAUCUAACAUUGAUGGACAUGAGUCAACCCAACCACCUCCAUCUCCUUCUCAGGGACUGAGGUUGUUGCCUUACUUUGAUUCAUCCCUCUACAAGAAGAUGCUGACCAUUAGACAAAAGCAUGCUGUUGCAUAACAAACAAGAUAUUUUAUUGUCAUACUAUUUGUUAUGCCUCAAAUGGAGAAGGAACUGAAACUGUAUGAUCAGGAUGAUCCUGCUCAUAACAGUGACCACUGAAGGAAAAAUAGGAGGCACCAAAGCAGCAAGAUUUGAACAUGUUCAGACCCUAGUGGUUGGAUCUACCAUCUCUUAUCUGGCAGACAAAUAGCUACUUCACUGCUGGGGCCACAAAGACAGCAAGAACAGAGCUGUUGGUCAUGAUGGAAGGUGAAUUGGGCAGACUAGCCCAAAGAAGCUCAGCAAAUGUGUUCCAUUUCUUGGAGGAGGACAACUAUAUCCUCGUGUUUCUGGUAUGAGCUCUAAGAAUCAACACCAAGAUCUCUUCAUCUGACUGCACUUGGGCACUUCAUGCCAUUUGAGAAGCAUCUCAGACAGUGUGCCAGGCAUCCCCAUCAGGCUGGCAGUGUGCCUUGGUCUGAAAUCCCUCAUCCGAGAAACCAGUUCACAUUUUCCCACACCUCUACUUCUGAACGGAAGGGAGAAUAAAGAAUGAAAAAUGGAUGGGAAAAGUAAAUGGACACCACUGAAUAUGGACCACAGCUUUAAAUCACUUUGAUGCCAGUCUCUACUUGAAGUUAAAGCCUCUAACAAGUGACACUGUAUUUCUUUUUUUUUUUUUAUGUCAACAUUUUGUCAUUGAAUCAGACAAUUUCACUGAGCAUAUGUGCAAAGGGUAUCUUCUAAGUUUUCCCUGUUCAACUGACAACUUCCUUCAGCACUAUAUUAAUAAGCAGUGUCACCCUUAAAGAUUUUGAGGGAUUUAUUCCAUGCCUUUUGAACUCCGAGUAUUGCCCCUUUGUAUUUCCCUUCAUAUUUUGCCUAACUUCAAGGUUAUGCAAAAAUCUCCCCUUCUUUUUAUCUGCUACAUAGUUGGCUUCAGAAUACCCAUUUCCAUGAUAAGAGAUGUAGUGUCUGACAUCUAUGAUGUCUCUGGUGUUUGUAGAACACUCACCACAGCGUUGUAUGUGUGUCUAAUAUUAGUGAUUCAUUUGGAGCAGCAAAAAUUUGACAGCUAUAAAAUAAAACCUUGACUAUAAAUCGAGAGAGAGAGAGAAUGGGAACCACUAAAUUAUACUAAACCUAUGAAUACUGGAUCUGGCCCACCCCUCUGAAGUGUUCCAGUGUUUCCAUGGGUCAUAUCUACAUUUGUAAAACAAAGAGUUUUGUUUUUGGAGCCAAACCAGGAGACUUCCACGUUCUCCUUGGUAUGAACCCAACUCUGUGAUGUAUAAAUCCAUAAGUAAAACAGGGCAAAGUCUUUCCAGUGGCCCCAAGGCCACCCCAUGUUAGGAGCAGUCCUUGGUUUAUACAAAUCUCAAAAUAGGAUUGAGCAUCUUCUGGAAAAAUGCUAAUUGGCAUUGUCCAAGAACAAAGAAUGUAACGGUAUGGAUGACAGAAUUUGUGCUCUGGGGAAAGUUCUUUGAUAUUCAUUAACUCAGUAGUGCAGAUGGAUACAAAACCUUGGUAUUAUCAUUUUGGAAGGAGAGAGAAUUUGUUAAGUUUUUUAGAAGUUUCAAAUAUUUCUAUACAGUAAGGGUUAUUUUCUAGGGUAGCUUAUAGAACAAAGGAUGUAAUUCAGUUCUAAUUGAGCUCUUCAGGACUUUACACGAGCAACUUCCAGAGCACACUUUCUGCCUGUAUGACCAUGCCAAAAACCUGCUUUGAAACCUCUCAUGUCCCUGUUUAGCCUGAAGAAGAGAAAAUUCAGGGAAGAUCCUAUUGUGGCCUUUACUAUGUACAGUGGCUUAUAAGGAAGAUGGACAAAGACUUUUUAUCAUGGCCUGAAGUGGCGGGACAAGGGGUGGCAGUUUUAAACUGAGAGAGGGUAAAUUUAGGCUGGACAUAAGGAAGAAAUUUUUUAUCAUCAGGGAACAGUGAUUCUGAAAGAACCUGCCUGGAGGGGAUUUCAAAGAACUGAAGAUCCCUCCAGUCUCCUCAGAGGACAUCUUGGAAGGGCUGGUCCAGAACGAAUGUUUAUCUUGGAAGAACAAGGCCUGGAAAUACGGAGAAAGGAGCUCCGAAAAUAGAAAGUCCCAGGAAAUAAGGAUGUCCCCACUGUCUAAACUGGCCUCAUGAAUUCCAGUCUGAACUGGCAACCUGGUACACCCAGUGUGUCCAAAAUCACCACCCUUCUACUCAAGCAGUCAUCGAGUUCCACGUUCUCACCCCAGUAUUGAAUCAGCUCCACCUAAACCAACCAUAAAUUGGAUCUAACAUGGUUUUAAAAUCUUAAAAUGAAGGAUGUUUCAAUUCCUCAUUACUCUUGCCAUUUAGAUUUUGUUCUACUAUCUGUCCUAAAUAUCUCUAAGUUCAGUUUUGCUUGUUUUGUCCAUAGCCGACCAUAGUAUUUCUUUGAUCAAUUUAGUUGUCUUUAAAGUUUUAAAAAUCAUUUCCAAGCUUUUCCUUGGCCUUCUGUACAAUAAAAACUUUGUUUUAAUUUCUUUUGUAAGCCAUGAAUUCCACAUCACUAUGUGGAUCACUUUAACCUUCACCAAUGUCUCCAAAUGUAGUGUAAGACAUACCAAACUCACAAGAUAUUCACAAUGUUCACUGUGUUUCAGCAUUCAUUAAGCCCUUGCCCACCAUGUUUCUUAUUUUCUGCUCCUGUACAACAGAGGAGUCGCGUUCAGCCACUGCUCUGCUAUUCAGAAACUUCUGACUGUUCAAAGAGUGCUUGCAAUAAGUUGAACAGAAGUAAAAGAACCAAAUAAAACAGGGGUUUGAUCUUCUCCAAACCUUCUUU
ensembl:lncRNA